rnacentral:rRNA from 1 species
GAUGAACGCUAGCUACAGGCUUAACACAUGCAAGUCGAGGGACCGGCGCACGGGUGAGUAACACGUAUCCAACCUGCCCUUUACUCGGGGAUAGCCUUUCGAAAGAAAGAUUAAUACCCGAUAUAAAGGAUGGGGCUGCGUUGCAUUAGGUUGUUGGUGAGGUAACGGCUCACCAAGCCUUCGAUGGUUAGGGGUUCUGCGAGGAAGGUCCCCGACAUUGGAACUGCGACAAGGUCCAAACUCCUACGAGAGGCAGCAGUGAGGAAUAUUGGUCAAUGGGCGGUAGCCUGAUCCAGCCAAGUAGCGUGAAGGAGGAAGGCUUAUGGGUCGUGAACUUCGUUUAUAUAAGAAUGUGUAUUAUAUGAAUAAGGAUCGGCUAACUCCGUGCCAGCAGCCGCGGUAAUAC